CAUAUCAAUAAGCGGAGGAAAAGAAAAUAACAAUGAUUUCCCUAGUAACGGCGAGUGAAGAGGAAAGAGCUCAAAGUUGGAACCUGUUUGGCCUAGCUAAACCGGAUUGUAGACUGUAGAAGUGUUUUCCAGGCAAGCCGAGUAAAUAAGUCCUUUGGAACAGGGCAUCAUAGAGGGUGAGAAUCCCGUCUUUGGCUUGAGCAUUUGCCUUUUGUGAUACGCUUUCAAAGAGUCAGGUUGUUUGGGAAUGCAGCCUAAAUUGGGUGGUAAAUCUCACCUAAAGCUAAAUAUUGGCGAGAAACCGAUAGCGAACAAGUACCGUGAGGGAAAGAUGAAAAGAACUUUGAAAAGAGAGUUAAACAGUAUGUGAAAUUGUUAAAAGGGAACCGUUUGGAGCCAGACUGGCUUGUCUGUAAUCAAUCUAGGCUUCGGCCUGGAUGCACUUGCAGGCUAUGCCUGCCAACGACAAUUUGACUUGAGGGAAAAAACUAAGGGAAAUGUGGCCCACUUGUGGGUGUUAUAGUCCCUUAGAAAAUACCUUGGGUUGGAUUGAGGAACGCAGCGAAUGCUUUUUGGCGAGUUUUCCAGGAAGGUUUUCUGAGGUACUACGGUAUCAAGGUUGAUCUUUUUGGUUAUACUUCUAUUCGCUUAGGUUGUUGGCUUAAUGACUCUAAAUGAC
rnacentral:rRNA from 2 species